rnacentral:rRNA from 1 species
GACGUAGGGCGCGAGCGUUGUCCGGAUUGAUUGGGCGUAAAGAGCUCGUAGGCGGCUCGUUGCGUCGGCUGUGAAAACCCGCAGCUCAACUGUGGGCCUGCAGCCGAUACUGCCGGACUAGAGUUCGGAAGAGGCGAGUGGAAUUCCCGGUGUAGCGGUGAAAUGCGCAGAUAUCGGGAGGAACACCAAUGGCGAAGGCAGCUCGCUGGGACGGUACUGACGCUGAGACGCGAAAGCGGUGGGGAGCAAACAGG